UACGGAGGGUGCGAGCGUUGUCCGGAAUCAUUGGGCGUAAAGGGCGCGUAGGUGGCCCGGUGAGUCUUUGGUGAAAGCGCGGGGCUCAACCCUGCGUCGGCCAGGGAUACUGCCGCGGCUGGAGCACUGUAGAGGCAGGCGGAAUUCCGGGUGUAGUGGUGAAAUGCGUAGAGAUCCGGAGGAACCCCAGAGGCGAAGGCGGCAGCCUGGUUCGUACCUGACGCUCGGACACGACAGCAUGGGGAGCGAACGGG
rnacentral:rRNA from 1 species